GUGGGGAAUAUUGGACAAUGGAGGCAACUCUGAUCCAGCCAUGCCGCGUGUGUGAAGAAGGCCUUUUGGUUGUAAAGCACUUUAAGCGAGGAGGAGGCUUACCUGGUUAAUACCUGGGAUAAGUGGACGUUACUCGCAGAAUAAGCACCGGCUAACUCUGUGCCAGCAGCCGCGGUAAUACAGAGGGUGCAAGCGUUAAUCGGAUUUACUGGGCGUAAAGCGCGCGUAGGUGGCUAAUUAAGUCAAAUGUGAAAUCCCCGAGCUUAACUUGGGAAUUGCAUUCGAUACUGGUUAGCUAGAGUAUGGGAGAGGAUGGUAGAAUUCCAGGUGUAGCGGUGAAAUGCGUAGAGAUCUGGAGGAAUACCGAUGGCGAAGGCAGCCAUCUGGCCUAAUACUGACACUGAGGUGCGAAAGCAUGGGGAGCAAACAGGAUUAGAUACCCGGGUAGUAC
rnacentral:rRNA from 1 species